GCCUUAGUAGCUCAGUCGGUAGAGCACCUGGCUGUUAACCAGGGUGUCACAGGUUCGAGUCCUGUUUAAGGCGCCA
rnacentral:tRNA from 1 species